rnacentral:lncRNA from 1 species
GUGGGGAAAGAACCGGGUAGUUACAGAAUCGCAAACCAAAAUAAAAAGAUGUUGGCAGGAAAGAACAAAGAACUGGCUAAGGAAAGAGACUGUAGAAAACUACUGCAACACCUUUGUCAUGUUGCUGUGUGAGCAGGUUGCUGAAAUUAUGUAUGCCUCAUAGAAAACACCUUUGCAGCUGGGAGUAAUUGCUUCCAGUAGAAAGCGAUACAAAACCAGGCACCUGAUUACUUCUACAUUUGAUCGGUGGUCAAAAAGAACGGCCAAAGACAGGUACACAACACUGGCACAAGGUUUAGCAGAACAGGAAUCUGGGUUCUCAAGCAAUUUAUUUUAAAAGUUUUGAAACACAUUUUGACUGUGUUGUAAAGAAGGUGUACCCAGGAGGUGAAGUGCAAUACUUAAUUAAAAAUGAAAAAGUACCGACCCCAGGCCUUUGUGUGAGCCCAGUUCAUCUUGCCUGGAACAAAGCCGAGGGGGACUAGCUGCAGUUUGGAGUAGUAAAGAAACCCCCUUUGCUCAAAAGUAGUUUCUCCAGGUUAUAUGCUACAAAUCCAUCUCUGCAUUUCUUUCUUUUCUCUUUUUUUUUUUAAGAAAAUGCAUAGCAAAAGAUGAAAGGGGUUGAAAUUACAUGGUUCUGGUUCUAUCCAAAAAUAGGGGAGGCGGUGGGGGAUGGAAGAAAAGAAAGCAAGUCUACACAACUAAGAUUUCGCAUGGUCUUUAGAAGGGUCAGGUUUUCCAAAGCGACAGCUAGGGCGAACGUCACAGCUUUUUCAUUACAACAUGAAGACUAAAGAUAAUAUAGAACCCACUGUGUUUCCUGGAAAAGUAAGAGAAACCUAAGUUAUAGCAAUCUGCCAAUAGUGGUGCAAGCAAAGUGAGACAGGGUUACACCUAAACCAGUGGUUCCCAACCUGUGGGCCACGGCCCAGCAGUGAGCCAUGAGAACAGAAAUCUGGUCCAUGAUCCUCCCUCUUCUUUAUUUAUUUAUUUUAUUUUAUUAUCAAAUAUGGUCUUCUAGAUUAUUAAAUAUGGUUUUUUGUGGGCUAGCAGAUGACGACUACUGGAUGGUAUAUGUUCUGUAUCAGAAACUAGAGCUGAUGUGGUCUAUCCAAUGCAAUUUUCUGAAUCAGCACCCCAAAUAAUGAAACCAAAUCUAAAGUUGACCAAAACCUGAUUCGUAACCCUCUUGGUACUGAUGUUGGAGAAUGGGCCCUGGUCAAGUGGGCCAUGGUCAAAAAAAGGUUGAGAACAACUGACCUAGAUGGAACGACAGUAAUAUAUAUCUUCCUUUUCUCAAUUUCCCUUUAUCAUCCUCAACACUUGCAGUCGCCUCUUUAGUUGUAGAAUUUCAUUACUUGCACCUGUGUUUGUAAACUUUCCUUGCUAUCUUGGAGUGUGGCGAAUUUUCCCUUUUUUUUGGGAAGUGCUUUGAUUUUAUAUUCCUGCAUGGUGGAAUGGGGUUAAUCUGGAUGGCCCUGGUGGUAUCCCAACUCUAUGACUCUAUGAUAUGUGUUGUUUGCUACUUUGUUCCUUCAAUGUCCUUUCUUCCCUGAGCCCCUAAUUCAGACAUGUGACAUGUACUCAUUCUGUUCUAAUAGGAUUGCAUUCCAGUUACAACCAUGGUAAAAGGUAAAGGUUUCCCCUUGACAUUAAGCCUAGUCGAGUCCAACUCUGGGGAUUGGUGCUCAUCUUCAUUUCUAAGCCGAAGAGCCGGCAUUGUCUAUAGAUGCCUCCUCGGUUAUGUGGCCAGCUUGACUGCAUGGAGUGCCAUUACCUUCCCGUCAACAGUACCUAUUGAUCUACACACAUUUGCAUGCUUUUGAACUGCUAGGUUGGCAGAAGCUGGGGCUAACUCACCCUGCCCUGUGGAUUCGAACACCAACCUUCCGGUCAGCAAGUUCUGCACCUUAGCAAUUUACCCCUCUGUGCCACCGUGGCUAUGGGCUCCUAUCUAAAUAGCAAGGAUAAUGUUUCUCCUAUUCCUGGGAUUCAGAAGUUUCAUGCAACUUUGCCUUAGUUUUAAUUCCCCUUUCCCUGUUCUUAAGUCGGAUGUGAAAUCUGGCUGCAAGAAUUUGGAGACUUGGAUACCAUUCUCAGGAUGGGGUACCAGCAAAAGCUUGGCAUAAUCUCAAAAAAAAGGGAGAACAUAAUUGUAAGGAUUCUAUCUGGUAUCAUCAAUUGAAUUGCUUAUUUGUUUAUUCAUCACUUGGAGCAGAAUCCAAAUGAGGGAAAUAUUUCUUUUAUUUAUAUUCCAUCCUUCUCUUUGCUUUUCAAAGUAUUUUGGAUGAUGCUUGUUGUUUUGAUAAAUCAUGGAAAUAUAGAAGAUAAGCUUUCCUAGAAGUUCAAUUCUGAAGAGAAGCAUUGAGUGUGUUCUGGACAUUUCUGGAAAAAGUUCAGUCAUUAGUACCAAAUAAAACAGAGCCAUUACCUCAACUGGGAUUUGGUAAAUCAGCCCUUACAUACAUUCCUACUCUAAUUGGGACUAAAAUUGAAUUUAGGCUUCUGUCAGUUCACUCACACUGACAGGGAUGUGCCAACCAUUUGAUUAAUGCUGAGGAUACAUGCCCUUAAAACUAUUUCAAAAUCCUAACUAACAGGUUCUAUUGCAAAUGGGUAAAUAUGGAUAGAGUUAUCCAAAGGUAAAUGCCUGCUGUCACAAAGAACAUUGCAGAAUGGGCCUUUAAUGCAUGGAUUUCUUGUGUGUUUCAAGAUAUGAAUCUACCACUUGAAGUCUUUACAUUGAACUUGUUUCUAAGACUCUUGCAAUAGAUUUUGAUUCCACAUUCAUAGAGAUUACGAAAUGGAUCCUCAAGCUCCUCAAACAUAAAUAAAUUAAAAAAUAGAGGCCCAGCUCACUGCUGUCAUCAAGAGACCUAUGGAUCUGCUUUGGGAAAUGCUUCUGAAAGUUUGAUUGUGAUACAAAAUUUAUGAGUGAUUUUACAACCACUUUCUCUGUAAGUCAUUUCCAUUUACACUUUUGUCUGGCUUUUUCUGGCGAUGUUUUUCAUUUUUCUUUUUAAAGAAGCCUAUCUUUCACAGUACCUUAUUCUCUGAACAUG